rnacentral:rRNA from 1 species
AUAUCAGUCAUGCAUAGCAUAUCAAUAAGCGGAGGAAAAGAAACUAACAAGGAUUCCCUUAGUAACGGCGAGUGAAGCGGGAAGAGCUCAAAUUUGAAAUCUUCAAGGUUCUACCUUGACGAAUUGUAGUUUAUAGAAGUGUUUUCUGUUAGUGGAGUGGCAAAAGUUCUUUGGAAUAGGACAUCAUAGAGGGUGAGAAUCCCGUAUUUGGUCAUUCCUCCUAGCGUUGUGAUACACUUUCAACGAGUCGGAUUGUUUGGGAAUGCAGUCCAAAAUGGGUGGUAAAUUUCAUCUAAAGCUAAAUAUUGGCGAGAGACCGAUAGCGAACAAGUACCGUGAGGGAAAGAUGAAAAGAACUUUGAAAAGAGAGUUAAACAGUACGUGAAAUUGUCAAAAGGGAAGCGUUUGACACCAGUGUUGUUUUUCCGAAAAUCAAUUACGAAUGUUUUAUUUUUGAGGAGUUAUGACUUCAUCGGCUUGCUCCUUUCUUUACUGAAACUUUCUUAAUGCACUUUUCGGUUAACAAGUCAACAUCAAUUUCUUUUGUUGUAAAAGGGUAUGAGGAAGGUGGCUUUCUUUUCGGAGAAAGUGUUUAUAGCCUUGUGCCUCUGCAAUCGGAGAGAUUGAGGUCUGCAGCGUAGAUCCUUCGGGGUUAGAUACGUUUGUGCUAAGUUAUAGCUUUUCAUAGACAACUUGUUGACUAUGUUUAGUCUUGUAGCUUACUCGCUGACGCUAUUUUACCUACGCUUAGGAUGUUGAUACUCUCACAGUCGAGC